rnacentral:rRNA from 1 species
CGGUAAUACGUAGGCGGCGAGCGUUGUUCGGAGUUACUGGGCGUAAAGCGUGCGUAGGCGGUGCCCUAAGUCUGGUGUGAAAUCUCCCGGCUCAACUGGGAGGGUGCGCUAGAAACUGGGAUGCUAGAGUGUGGGAGAGGUAAGCGGAAUUCCUGGUGUAGCGGUAAAAUGCGUAGAUAUCAGGAGGAACACCUGCGGUGUAGACGGCUUACUGGACCAUGACUGACGCUGAGGCACGAAAGCGUGGGGAGCAAACGGGGUUAGAUACCCUGGUAGUCCACGCCCUAAACGAUGCAUACUUGGUGUGGGCAGUUCAGUCUGCCCGUGCCGUAGCUAACGCGUUAAGUAUGCCGCCUGGGGAGUACGGUCGCAAGGCUGAA